rnacentral:rRNA from 2 species
UGGGGAAUCUUCCGCAAUGGGCGCAAGCCUGACGGAGCAAUGCCGCGUGAGUGAAGAAGGCCUUCGGGUUGUAAAACUCUGUCCUCAUCCAAGAGAGAGACCUGUAGUAACUGCCAGGUCUAGGACGGUAGAUGAGGAGGAAGCCCCGGCUAACUAUGUGCCAGCAGCCGCGGUAAAACAUAGGGGGCAAGCGUUGUCCGGAAUCACUGGGCGUAAAGGGCGCGCAGGCGGUCUGUUAAGUCAGAUGUGAAAGGUUAGGGCUCAACCCUGAACGUGCAUCUGAUACUGGCAGACUUGAGUAUGGAAGAGGUAAGUGGAAUUCCUAGUGUAGCGGUGAAAUGCGUAGAUAUUAGGAGGAACACCAGUGGCGAAGGCGACUUACUGGGCCAUAACUGACGCUGAGGCGCGAAAGCGUGGGGAGCAAACAGG